rnacentral:rRNA from 1 species
AGUGAACGCUGGCGGUAGGCCUAACACAUGCAAGUCGAACGGCAGCACAGUAAGAGCUUGCUCUUACGGGUGGCGAGUGGCGGACGGGUGAGGAAUACAUCGGAAUCUACUUUUUCGUGGGGGAUAACGUAGGGAAACUUACGCUAAUACCGCAUACGACCUACGGGUGAAAGCAGGGGAUCUUCGGACCUUGCGCGAUUGAAUGAGCCGAUGUCGGAUUAGCUAGUUGGCGGGGUAAAGGCCCACCAAGGCGACGAUCCGUAGCUGGUCUGAGAGGAUGAUCAGCCACACUGGAACUGAGACACGGUCCAGACUCCUACGGGAGGCAGCAGUGGGGAAUAUUGGACAAUGGGCGCAAGCCUGAUCCAGCCAGACCGCGUGGGUGAAGAAGGCCUUCGGGUUGUAAAGCCCUUUUGUUGGGAAAGAAAAGCAGCAGGUUAAUACCCCGCUGUUCGGACGGUACCCAAAGAAUAAGCACCGGCUAACUCCGU